rnacentral:rRNA from 1 species
UACGUAGGGGGGCAAGCGUUGUCCGGAUUUAUUGGGCGUAAAGAGCGUGUAGGCGGCCAGACAGGUCCGUUGUGAAAACUAGAGGCUUAACCUCUAGACGUCGAUGGAAACCGUCUGGCUAGAGUCCGGAAGAGGAGAAUGGAAUUCCUGGUGUAGUGGUGAAAUGCGCAGAUAUCAGGAAGAACACCCGUGGCUAAGGCGGUUCUCUAGUACGGUACUGACGCUGAGACGCGAAAGCGUGGGGAGCGAACAGG